ACAAUGUCUCUUCUCCCUUAAGAAAAGCUACUUCAACAUCUCCAUUGGUUCUCAACAUAGAGGAGGAAAAUAAUCAUAUUUCACUCACAGUAUUUAAGUAAGAAUCAAAGACUCUAAGAUAACUGAAAGCAGUAAAUUAAUUUGCUUCGCCAAGAUCACAGGAAAAACAGAAACUGCAAGGAGAAAUGGAAAAAGCUGGGCCUCCCCUAUGGACAUGGGGAAAGGUGGCUAUCUGGAAGUCAAGGGAAAAGAGAGAUUUUUCUUUAUAAAAUAAAAGAAAUGCCUGAACCAUCAAA
rnacentral:lncRNA from 1 species